rnacentral:tRNA from 1 species
GGGGACGUGGCUCGGUUGGCAGAGCACUUGCCUCCCAUGCACAAGGCCCUGGGCUCAACCCCAGCACCCCCG